AAGAAAAAGUUACAACAAGAGCACAUUUUUUCAGCUGGAAUUUUCUCAUUCAAACCUUCAAAAAAACCAAAAUUUUGUGACCAAAAACAUAGUACUACUCAAAACCUUAAAAAACAACUUAGUCAUGUGAAAAAUUUGGAACAAUCAAAAUUUUCAAACAAAAAGAAAGUACCUCAUGAGAUUAAAGAUUUCUUCUUUUUUCCUCCAAAUCCAUUUUUUCCACCACCUAUUAUCCCUAAUCCAUUUCAACCUCCAUUGAUUCCUAAUCCAUUUACACCUCCACCAUUGAUUCCUAACCCUUUAAACCCUCCACCUUUGAUUCCUAAUCCAUUUCAACCACCAAGUCCACCAUUGAUUCCUAACCCUUUUCAACCACCAAGUCCACCACCUUUGAUUCCUAAUCCAUUUCAACCACCAAGUCCACCACCACUUAUUCCAAAUCCAUUUCAACCUCCUCCAUCAAGUCCACCACCACUCAUUCCAAAUCCAUUUCAACCACCACCAUCAAGUCCACCACCAUUUUUUCCUUUUCCACCAGUAGUAAUACCAGGAUUAACUCCAUCACCACCGCCGCCG
rnacentral:lncRNA from 1 species